UUUAUAAAGACACUUAAUUCCGUCAUGGGGUCUUUAUCUCAUGACCUCAUCUAAUCGUAACAAGGAGGGAAAUGAGACAGAUGACAUUUUUUGGUGCCCAUCCUGGUUUUAAACCUCUUUCUUUAGGUCUAAAGUUCCAUUCUUGGUAAACAUAAUUGCCUCCCAAUGUCCCCACCUCCUAAUACAUUGGAGGUUAGAGCUUCACAUUGAAUUUGGGCUCAAUACAAAUAUUCUGUCCAAAUACACCUUUCCUUAGUCUUGAAGGUCUUGUAUAGGAGUGACAGGCACUUUCCAUUAAAGAAAACAGGUGGUCUUUGCAAGAGAAGAUGGGACAUUUUGCCAAGCUUUGGGCAUAGAGAUGGAAUAAAAUUGAGAAGAAAUUGUACAUUUUACAACACACUCAGCCACAACAACAGGAUGCACUUAGAUCCUUCACUGUCUGACUUUAGUAAGAAGCAGGGAAAUACAGAGAUUAUUAGUUUAUUAAAGCAUCAAGUCUAUGAUUAAGAGAGUAGAUCCAAACUAAUGCAGUUUUAAUUCACUUGUUUUAUAAACUUUUCCUUUAUCAGUCCUUACAGUUGUUGGUCAUAGUGAAUGCAGUGGAAUCCACUGAGUGAGAUCAGAAUCCUGGAAAGAAGAUGAUUGUAUUGAAAGGAUAUAACAAGAAGGGAAAUGAGAUAGAUGAUAUUUUUUGGUGCCCAUCCUGGUUUUAAACAUCUUUCUUUAGGUCUAAAGUUCCAUUCUUGGUGGUUCAUACCUUUGUAUUAAAAAAAAAAAAAAACCCAAUAGCCAGAAUAUCUUAAGUGUUGCUUCCAGAGGGCUGGGUAAUGCUUUCAAUCUUUUACAUCCCAAUUUGAUAUGAAUAUGCUUUCUGUCCAUGUCAGAAAGAUCUGGUGUCUGAGAUAUUCUGAACAGAUGAAAAAAAAAUCCUUUCAAAAGUACAGGCAGGGAGAACCAUCUACUUUCCUCACUCCAAGUCAUCUUCCAGAAUGGCUUAUUUCAUCAUAUGCCCUUAACUCCCUUGUAGGUACAGAUAAACUCACGUGAUGAUUUCUACAGCCAGACCUUUCCUCAAGCUUCUCACCUGUUUGUCUGAUGCCUACCGGACAUUGUCACCUGAAUGUCCCACGCCACCUUCACAUUCUGCUUAAUACUCAGUCGUUGCCCCUAAAUAAGUUUCCUCCUGAAUUCUAUGGGUUAUUUGUUGGUUUAAUCAUCUGCUCAGAUGCUUGGGAGUUGAAUAUUUCCUCUCUAUCAUGUUUCCAUUUAAUCACUCAGAAAGUCCUUUUAAUUUUACCUCCUAAAUAACCCACCCCUGGGGGUUCUUAAUUCACUUUGUAUGAUCUCUUAGCUGGAAGUGUUAUAGUAAUGACUGAUGUGUCUCCUUGUCCAUUUUCUUCUUCCCCACUGCCUCCUCUCCUCAUGUAUUUUUCCUAGGUAGUUGCUAGAAGUAUCUCUCUGGCCAUCUCACUUCCUUGUGUCAAGCUUUUCCAUGAACAUACACCAAUUAACAAGGCUGCAUACUUCCAGGGUGCACUCAGGCCCUUCACUGUCUCACUUCCUCUGCUUCUUUGUUCUUAGCUCUACAGCUCCUCUGCACCUUUUUGUUCUAGCAUCACCUCUAAUUCCCUGGACCAUCCUGCUCAGUCAAUGUUUGCUUGUGCUUCUUUAUUCCCAUGUGUAUUUUUUCAGUGUGUUGCCUACUUUUCCUUUGUAACUCAGCUCCAGAGCAACUUCUCUAGGGGUAUCGAUUUGACUGCCUUCUCCCACCUCCUCUAAUUGGCUAAGUGUCCUUCUAUUGCUCCCACAGUCUCCUAUAUACUCCUGAUUCCACCCCCUUGUGACUUUGUAUUGAGAUUUUUGGUAUGUCUUGCUCACCUGCUGGACUGUCAUUUUCUUAAGGAGUACUCUUUGGCCCUAAGUGCCUAAAUCUGGCAUAUAAGAUACCCAUAAGAAAAUCAUUCUUCCUUUGAUUUGGCAUCAUGUGUAGAGAAAGCAUAUGUCAUAUGCAGGAAAAAUGACAAGGAUGAGUGAGAUUAAAAAAAAAAAAAACAUCACCAGAAGCUCUGGAAAGUUCAACAUUUCCUAGCCCCUGCUAUCUACCUGCCAAAUAGAAAGGGCUGAGAGGGCAGGUGUAACUUUUCCACGAACAACUGGACAAAGGACUCCUAACUCUACCCAUCUCUAAUCCGAGCAGUUGAGCCAUUUCCUGUUUGCAUGUGGUCGUGUCAGAUCUUCAGAAGUGAAUUAAGCUUCAGUUUUGUUAUUAAUUGGUUUUGUUUCUUCUCUUUCCCAUUUAUGUAGGCCAGAAUCUGCAAGAAACUAUCAAUUGGAAAAUCUUCUGUUUGGUCUCAGGGUGUCUCUGGAUACCUAGAUAGAAGAAAAAGGAUGACUUGUCUUUGAAUAUUCUCAUAGAAAAAAGGAGAAAUAAUGUAAGAGAAUGUGACCAAGAAAAUGGAAAAACUGCCAUUUUAAAGACUAAGUAAAAGUAUGAAGAAAAUGACCGACAGAUGUCAUCGGGAAUAAAAUUAUUUAUUGACUGAUUCUCUUCAUCAGGUUAAGAUGUUUUUAUAUGCGCUCAUGCCCAAGGCAAUGGAGCCAGUCAACCAUGGACCAUGAAACUGAGGACUGUGAAACUGCCUCCAAACAACAGGGUCAACUAACCAUGGACUAAAGCCUUCACUAUGGUUGAACAGCUUGGCCACAUGUGGGAACUGUCCAAGGGAAAGCUCUGGAGGCAGAGGAGAUCACACACAGCAUCCCACCCUGCCCUCCUAGGAAGGUAAGAGAGUUUGUCCAAAGACUUCCUCACACCCUUGAGUCUUUGGCCACACUCCCUCACCGUCAGAACUGUCAUCUGUUUCUUGUUCUUCUCUUUUGUUUUCAAUUACCUGCCUUCCUGGUCGUGGCUUCUGCAAGUAUGGACUUCAUCUCACACAUUUUAUUGCUGAAGAGGGAGGGGAAGACUCAGAAUACCCAGAUCUUUUGCAUUUGCUUCAAAUGCAGUUAAAAUCUAAGAUAGGAGACAGGUACAAUACUUGUACCUUUUGUAUCAAGUGGAUAAUGUUGUCUCUGGAUCCUUCAGAUCAAGUGCUUUCCAGGCCAGUAGGCCAUGUUCACUAAGAAUCCCCAGCCUCUACUAUGUGGACUCCUUCAAAGAACUACACACACACACACACACACACACACACACACACACACACACACAGCAACUCAGAAAUACAGUGAGUUCUGCUUGAGCAGGAGCACACUUGUGUUACUAGUGAGAAGUUCUAGGUUGUAAAAUAAAUCAGUGCCAUGAAAACAGCAUGUGAUUCAGUGGGAAAGGGUGGGUGAUUUGGCUCUUCCUGGGCUGAUUGCACAAUGGCUCCAGGUUGACUUUUGAUAAGGAACACAGUUGAGUUCAGUGUUCUUAUUAGAUAGAAGUGUCACGGAUCAGCUCCUGGAAACUGUUCUACCCUAAUCUGCCAAUUUAUUUAUUUUCAAAUCCACAUAUCACUCUUUUAGGCAGGUUUCCAGGAGGAUCAUCUGGAGAUAAGUUUAUUUCUAGCUCCCUCCCCUUAUAAUAACGGCCAAGAAGAAGAUGACCAAACCAAAGGAAUUGUAUUUUAAACAUCAUCUGCACUUUUUCUGAGAAUUCCACAUAACAUUUUUAUGCUAUCCCACCCUUGUACUUUUAUAAGUUUCCUCUUCCAAGCUAUGCCAUUUCAAAAUGUACCCAAUUAUUAAUUAUUUACACAUGUUGUAUUAUGCUUAUUUUACUUUCAAGUAUUUCGUUGUUUGUACCCAGAAGCAAGAGAGAUUUUUGGCAGAUAUAAAGAUAUCAUUGGCUGCCCAAGUGAAGAUUGUCACCAAACUCUUUGGCCCACCAAACAACAAUGGAAUGUAUUCUAUUCCAAUUCAGCUUUCUAAUGAGAUAAAGAUAAAUGUUCUUUGUUGAUUUUUACCAUUCCCAAUUUUGACUCCUUCCAAUGCAAGUAAUGUAUUGUCUACUUGUAUAUUAGAAUUCAAUUAGUCUUUUAACAUCUAUUUAUUCUCUGAUUUUAGGAAUGAAAAUACAUUUUCUGUAACCUGAACAGCAGGUUAUGCUUUCCAGGAGUCAAUUUGUUUUGUCUUUUUCUUCAGAGAACUGUGUUAAAUUAAAUGGAAUACUCCUUUCCAAGCUUAUUUCCAUAUAAAAUUUAAUAAUGCUAAAUGGCAUUCUAUGGGAUAAAUAUGGGGAAAUAUUACUUACAUAGAUAUGUCUUCUAGUAUGAAACUUUCUAGUUUUAUGCAAUCAUCAAUGUGUGCUUGUUCUUCUCACUCUUUCUGGUGGGAUAAAUACACCUGCAUGAUCUAUAAGCAGUUGGAAAUCAUAAAGAUUAAAGUUAAAAAUAAGAGAGGUCACACACAGUGAAGUUUUAUGCUUUUAAAGUUUUGAUUCUUCAAGCAGAUGUCUAAUACAGAUUUAGACCACGCAUUUACAUGAAGUUAACAUCAAUCCUGACUAAUUCCUUCAUCAGCAAGGGCAUUCUGGAUUUAUUGAAACUAGUUGUCUUUCCUUCCUUGGAGGUAAUUGUUUCUCACUCUUGAGGUGAUGUCUCUCAGCCCACUGAAGGCCAAAUGGAACAGGUGGGUUUGGGAGCUUCAGAAAGACUUUCACCUUCUACACAAUGUUUCUUGUCAUGAAGAUCUAAAAUGUCUUAUUGUUUCUCUUUCAAGAAUGCCUUCUCUAUUCAUUUCAAUCAAUCACUCAUACAUUGAAGCAGAUUUGUAUUGCUAUGUUUGAAUAAACUUGGAUAUUACAUAUCUAGUUCUCGGUUGAAAAUGUCCUUCCAGGGAGAAAACAAGCCCCAUGAAGGUUAGAGGAAAGUAUAUAAUGGGAAACACGAAGGAACCUCUUAAAAUUUAAAAUUAAUUUUAAACAUUUUAUUGUAUCCUAAAGAAGUAUAGCUGAUCUUUGUCAGGAUGUUGUUUACCUGUGAGUUAAGGGAUAGGCUUGAGACUUGGAUUCCAGAGAGGGGUUCAGAUAUGCACAGUUCAGGUAAAUGCCUCAGAUAUCACAAGUACGUAGCUCCCUCUUAUUGGAACUUGGUCACUUCACAAAACUCAGACUAGGAAAGAUAGACAAGAAUAGGCAUCACUGAGUGAGAAAGCUCUGCCCCAAAGCUGUUCCAUCUGAAUCUGGGCCACUCAUGAAAAUGAUUCCAUCUGGAUGGGCUUCUUCUCUGUUGGCAAAAGGGGAAUGUUCAAUUCUUUCUUUAUAUUCUGGACACAUUUUCCAAUGAUAAGUUAUGUCUACAUUCACCCUCAGAACCUUCCUCAGUUGGAAAAUAAGAGAAGAGUAACAGCUACUCACUCAUCACUUGAUUACAGUAAAUCCACAUCCAAUUCUUGGUUCAGACUUUCUGGCCUAGGACAAUGAAUCUGCCUUCAACCACCUCAUCACAUCACUGGCCUUCCACAUCCCCACUGAAAAGACAAUAUUGAAACAUUUAUUUUCCAGCUAUAACAAAAGUGGUCUAAAAGGUAAGCACUCCAUUCAUUCCCCCAACGAAGCUAGACUGACAGAAAGAUGAUGACUUGGGCUUACAAAUUGUCUCAAUUUGAGUGUGUUUUAGUGUUGUAUCCUUGAUUUUUUUUUUCUUUUUUCUUUUUGCAACCUUGAUUUUUACAGGGGACUCAAUCCUUGCUUAUAGGACGCCAGUUGAGUAUAUUGUGUAUGUAUGACAUCAUUCAGAGUUUCUCCUGAGGCCCCACCAGACUGAUUUCCAUGAAAAAUGAGUACAAGAAACAUGCAGCUUUAUUCCCUUGAGGACCUAGUAUGUUUCUUCUUGUCUAAUAAUGGGAACUAUGCAACUGACCAUAUCUCCUUUUUUUCUCUCUAACAGAGGACUUAGAGCCAAAUGUAACAAUGUCUGCAACUAAAAGCCCAUGACCUGUGUGUGUAUUUGCAUCCAUUUUUCAUCUCUUUUCCUUUAUUUUAUUUUUCCUUUAUUAAUUUUUUAGUUGUACUCUCAUCAAUUACUCUGAGAAAAGAGUCAAAAAUUAAUGAUAAUAUAAAAAGUAGAUGGUAAUUUUAAAAAUGUUAAUUUCCAAAAAAAAGAUUGUCUCACUGUAGCAUGACUAUUGACAACUGCCUAAAUCCAUAUAAUUUCAGUUGCAUGUAUUGUUUCUUUUAAAAUAUAUAUUUACACUAAAACAAGUGAAACAAAAUCAAAAAUACUUUUGUCUUUUUGUUGA